GAAUGAUGUAAAAGAACUUAAUGAUGUCAAUUCCUUAAGCAACCAACUUCACAUAAAUAUGAAACAGCCCAGAAUUUGACAAGAGAAAUAUUACAACAAGGAAGAUAUCCACAGUGAGAGCGAAAUGAAGGAAUUUCACCUUAUAAAAGCGUCAAGAAAGGAUCCUACACUGAAAGAGGAUAAGGUUAAGGUUGCCAGGGAAACCAUCAUAAACACCAAGAAAUGAAACCCCAUCCUGACAGGCCACAGAACACUCAGCAUCCCAGGAUUGGGCCUGGGAUUCCCAAGGUGGCCCUGCAGCAAGGGGCUGGUGCAUACAAGAGGGAACAGGCUGCGGUGUCCGCGACAGGACGGGCCGCCUCCCCUUUACAAGUGAUUACAUUCACCCACACCGGGUGGCCAUCCAAAGGCUUGGAAGGGCAGCCUGGAUGGGAUUUAUCUCCAAUCCUUCUAACCAAGUCCUGGCUAUAACAAAAGAAGGCCACGAGCAAAACAGCUCAGGGGGCAAGGAAAUGCCCACCUCAUUUACUCGCGUAUUUUUUCAUUUUCCAGAUAUCUACUUGAUGAGACCUUGUGCUAGACUGACGCACUGUGGUCAAUGUGAAGUUCUAAAUUCACAGAUUCCUGGCCUGGCACCCAUGGAUCCCCAGAAGUUUUACAAACAAACUCCAGAAGCUCUGGAAACUUAAAACUGUACAGGAAAUUUCGUACACAAGGGCAUAUUUUUCUUCUUGGGGAAAAGUCUUCCAAAGGAUUUUCGACAUUACGUAUGACAUUUUUAAAAAUGUAUUCUGAGAAAAAAGAGAAGGAAAUCUGCAAGGGAUUCUCUUUCCCUGUUUAUGAUGUGGCUGAUGAUAUGGUUUGGUAGAUUUGUUUGGUUCUGAAAUGAAAUAACUAGAGCUGUAUUCACGGAUGGAUCGAUUUCUCUCUAGCUGAUUAAAUACGUCAACAGGGACAAAGCACUCACAGACGUCAUUGCUAAAAUUUCUUAGAUGUCUCCACCUGAAGCCGUGACACACUUAUAACUCUGAACAUAUCGGGAGCAUCUGCAUUAACUGCAGUGGCCACUUCCUAGGUUCUAAGGAGCGUGGCAGAAAAUGAGCCCGUUACUCUGAGAGGCAAAAAGCCUUGGAUCCUAAGACCUCACCAGGAUAACCUACUCCCAAGGCACUAGGCAAUGUGAAGAGAAUGAAGAAAUAUCUCAUUUCAAACAGAAAAAAAAAAAGAAGCAACUGGAAUGAAAAGCUAUAAACAAUAGGUAAG